rnacentral:rRNA from 1 species
AUACGAAAGGUGCAAGCGUUGUUCGGAUUUACUGGGCGUAAAGAGAGUGUAGGUUGUUUAUUGAGUCGGAUGUGAAAUCCCGGGGCUCAACCUCGGAACUGCAUUCGAUACUGAUAGGCCAGAGUUUGGGAGGGGUAAGCGGAAUUCCGUGUGUAGCAGUGAAAUGCGUAGAUAUACGGAGGAACACCUGAGGCGAAGGCGGCUUACUGGACCAAUACUGACACUGAGACUCGAAAGCGUGGGUAGCAAACAGGAUUAGAAACCCCAGUAGUCC